rnacentral:rRNA from 1 species
GAUGAACGCUGGCGGCGUGCCUAAUACAUGCAAGUCGAGCGAACAGACGAGGAGCUUGCUCCUCUGACGUUAGCGGCGGACGGGUGAGUAACACGUGGAUAACCUACCUAUAAGACUGGGAUAACUUCGGGAAACCGGAGCUAAUACCGGAUCAUAUAUUGAACCGCAUGGUGCAAUAGUGAAAGACGGUUUUGCUGUCACUUAUAGAUGGAUCCGCGCCGCAUUAGCUAGUUGGUAAGGUAACGGCUUACCAAGGCAACGAUGCGUAGCCGACCUGAGAGGGUGAUCGGCCACACUGGAACUGAGACACGGUCCAGACUCCUACGGGAGGCAGCAGUAGGGAAUCUUCCGCAAUGGGCGAAAGCCUGACGGAGCAACGCCGCGUGAGUGAUGAAGGUCUUCGGAUCGUAAAGCUCUGUUAUUAGGGAAGAACAAAUGUGUAAGUAACUAUGCACGUCUUGACGGUACCUAAUCAGAAAGCCACGGCUAACUACGUG